GGGCGAUUAACUCAGCGGGAGAGUGCUACCUUCACACGGUAGAAGUCGACAGUUCGAUCCUGUCAUCGCCCACCA
rnacentral:tRNA from 1 species